rnacentral:lncRNA from 1 species
ACAAUUCCAAAAUUGGACAGUUUAGAGAUUAGAGUAACCUACCGGGGAACUCCAAGAAUAGAACGGGGACCAUAAGUAAGAGUCCAGGCGAAAUAUAAGUAAGGGUAUUCAACAUUCAUCAAAGAAAUGCCCAAAAUAGACAAAACACCAAAAACAAAAUGAAGAAUGAAGGGUUUCUCCAUUUCCCUUUUAUACCCUGAAAGCCAACCAAUUAAAAAAUUUUAAAAACAAAAACCUGGCAGAAAUGGGUUUAUCAGAAGACUAUCACCAUUAUCGGCUGAAAUAGAAACUCCUUGGAAAGUGAACUAUUUUAAGAACAAAACAGGGGAAAAAUAUGUAUAGACUAGAUCUUGGUGGAAGUAGAGUUGCCUUUUUAAAGCAAGUUGGAAGCUUGCAUUUAAACUAAUAAUCGGCGCAACGCGAUUUCGCAUUAUGAUAAUUGCUUCCAGCUUAUGUUUAUUUUCACUGCUUUAGAAAGGCCAAAAAUGAAAAAGAAUGAAUCAUGUAAUAGAUGAGAAGGAAAAUAAAAAUGGAAAUCUGGGUUAGGUUGAAGUAAAAUGUACUCUAACCAAUCUGAUGUAAACUCAUAAGCCACAAAUGUCACUGCACCAAUCUGAUGUAAGGAACAGAGUAGUAACAGCGUCGACGGUGGUGAUGAUGGUGGGGAUGAUGGAGAAGAAGGAAUAGGG